GAUGAACGCUGGCGGCGUGCUUAAUACAUGCAAGUCGAGCGAACGGUCGUGUAUCUUGCUUCUCUGAUGUUAGCGGCGGACGGGUGCGUAACACUUGGAUAACCUACCUAUAAGACUGGUAUAACUUCGAGAAUCCGGAGCUAAUACCGGAUAAUAUUUUGAUCCGCAUGGUUCAAUAGUGAAUGACUGUCUUUCUGUUUCUUAUAGAUGUUUCCCGGCUGCAUUAGCUAGUUGGUAAGGUAAAGGCUUACCAAGGCAACGAUGCAUAGCCGACCUGACAGAGGGAUAGGCGACACUGGAAGUGGAACAAGGACCAGACUCGUACGGGAAGAAGAAGUAGGGAAUGUGCGGAAAUAGGAGAAAGGAUGACGGAGCAACGCGGCGUGAGAGAAGAAGGUCAUGGGAUCGGAAAACACUGUUAUUAGGGAAGAACAAAUGUGUAAGUAACAGAAGAAAGAGUGACGGUACCUAAUCAGAAAGCAACGGCUAACUACGUG
rnacentral:rRNA from 1 species